rnacentral:lncRNA from 1 species
UAAGCAUAUCGAAUAGCGGGUAUAUUUUAAAAAAUUUAAUUAUUUUUAUUUUAUAUACUUGUAAAAAUUUUAAUAUUUUUAAAUAUAUUCCUGUUGUUAGGACUAUUAAAAAAAAUAUAGUUAAUCGUGAGUAAAAUACUUAACCUUAAUUAGUGGAUGAGUUAAAUUAAUUUUUUUACCCUUUAUAUUAUUGGAUGAAAUAUUUUUUAAGAUAAUAUUUCUAUAUAAUUUUAACAAUUGAGACCUUAGAGAGAUAUAUUUGUAAGGGCGAAAAUGUCAUUUUAUUUAUCUGCUAUUAAAAAAUAAAUGAUGCUCUAACAGGAAUAAACCAAGGGGCAAAUAUGAAUAUUACUGGACUUUUGUAGGGAUAAAAAUAAAAAAGUUGAAUUUUGCAGAAAUAUAUUUGUUAUUCUAUAUAUUUAUAGGGAGCUAUAUGUAAUUAACCCAAAAAAUUAAUUGGAAGACGGCCAAUCGUUUAGCGUCUUUAAUAUAAGACAGUGAAUCAUUUACUAUCUUUCCAUUAAUAAGAAAAAUAGUCGGCGAUUUAUCGUUUCUUUCUAUUUUAUAUAUAUAAUCCUAACAAAACAGUGAAUGAUUCACCACUUUCUAAAGGCACUAAACGAUUUAUUGUAUUCCUCAUUUUUGUCCAAUAUGGCAUUGAAUUGACAUAAAACAGUUAGUUGGCCAAAUAAAAUUUUAAAACGAUCAUUUAGCAAAUUAGAAAUUUUUAUUUGGUUAUUGUAAAAAAAGUGUAACAUACUGGAUCUUAUCAAGUGGGCAAGGUCACAGUAGAAAUGGUUGGCCAAUACGUCCAUAGAAUGUUGGACUGAGUUGGAGUCCUUUUGACAUGAAAUUGACGAAAAAUGGUCUAGGG